rnacentral:misc_RNA from 1 species
UGUGGGAGCGGGCUUGCUCGCGAAAGCGGUGGGUCAGCUUGCAUCGAUGUUGAAUGUGAUGACGCCAUCGCGAGCAGGCUCGCUCCCACA